UACGGGGGGUGCGAGCGUUGUCCGGAAUCACUGGGCGUAAAGGGCGCGUAGGCGGCUCUGCACGUCCGUUGUGAAAUCGCCCGGCUCAACUGGGCGGGGUCAGCGGAUACGGCGGAGCUUGAGCAAGCUAGGGGGCAAUGGAAUUCCCGGUGUAGUGGUGGAAUGCGUAGAUAUCGGGAGGAACACCAGUGGCGAAGGCGGUUGCCUGGGGCUUUGCUGACGCUGAUGCGCGAAAGCGUGGGGAGCGAUCCGG
rnacentral:rRNA from 1 species